UACGAAGGGGGCUAGCGUUGUUCGGAAUCAUUGGGCGUAAAGAGCUCGUAGGCGGCCACUCAAGUCGAAUGUGAAACCUCGAGGCUUAACCUCGAGCCUGCAUUUGAUACUGGGCGGCUAGAGUCUGGUAGGGGGAUCUGGAAUUCCUGGUGUAGCGGUGGAAUGCGCAGAUAUCAGGAGGAACACCGGUGGCGAAGGCGGGAUCCUGGGCCAGUACUGACGCUGAGGAGCGAAAGCGUGGGGAGCAAACAGG
rnacentral:rRNA from 1 species